UACGAAGGGGGCUAGCGUUGCUCGGAAUCACUGGGCGUAAAGGGUGCGUAGGCGGGUCUUUAAGUCAGGGGUGAAAUCCUGGAGCUCAACUCCAGAACUGCCUUUGAUACUGAGGAUCUUGAGUCCGGGAGAGGUGAGUGGAACUGCGAGUGUAGAGGUGAAAUUCGUAGAUAUUCGCAAGAACACCAGUGGCGAAGGCGGCUCACUGGCCCGGUACUGACGCUGAGGCACGAA
rnacentral:rRNA from 1 species